AAUAUCAGAAUACUAUGACCUACAGAUGAAGUCACCAAUUAAUACCACCAAGAAUGUGGUGAUGAAUACACUGCAGAUGUAACAGAAUUCUGGUUGUGACAUGACUCAUCCAGAAUCUUUAAAGAUUAGGGAUACUAGAAUCUCCAAUUAUGGACUUCCUAGAUGGUUUUGCAUCCAAGCAUUUACCAGGGCCAACCUAGACAGAAGAAUCAUAGGGAGCCAGACAGCAUACAAAUUUAAUAAUAAAAUAAACUGUAGAAGAACGCUACAUUUGGUAUUGCUGUAAUAAGGUUGCGUGAAAUUAUAUAGCUCUAUAGUUCUUUUCCCAUUGAAUUAGGAGAAACAAAUAUUUAAAAAAACACAGAAUAUCAAUCAAGUGUAAUUAUCUUUAAAUAUUCCCUAUGCCUAGCAGAUUAAAAUAUUUUUUUUACUGACAGCUUUCUCACGUGGAAACAAUAUCUAAAUUCGAAUACGCUUUUCAGACACUUGUCUGAGAAAGAUAAAAUUCCCAAACAGCAGACAGAGAUAUAAUAUUAUAUUGCAGAAACAUCCAUUUACAAGCAUAUAUUACAAAUUGGGAACAUAACAACUAAUGCUUCCAGACUUUAAAAAAUGGAACAGUGUUUCUCUUUAUUUUCUGAGACCUGCACUGAUGAUUCAUUUGCUAUUCCUCUGAAUAAACAUCUACAGUAUUUCAUAUUUACAUUUUCUUUGAUUACUUUGGAAGAAAGGGGAGGAGGGAGCCAGACCUCUAACCCCCAUCAUUAUUACUGAGCUAAAAACUACAGAAGAUAAAUACUAUGUUCACUUUUACUGUUAACCUGGAGCAAUAAUAAUAAAAGGGUUUAUUUCUGUUUUAUUUUACUCAUUCAUCCUAUAAAAAUAAGUGAAAUAAGCACGCACAUAACAGCCCAUUAUUAAUUAUUUGCAUAUGGGUUCAAUUAAAAUCAAUAUGAAAGAUUAUUAACUAGUUUUUCAGACUGAUUUCAAUGGGAUUUAAGUGCAACUUUAUUGUUUUAUGACAGGUAGAAGUCACCUAUUCCAGAUGACUAUGGGCAGCUUAGAAUUUUAAAAGAAAAAAAAACAAACAUGAAACACAGAAAAAGAACCUUGUGUGUAUAAAGGGGGAAAAAAUCAAUAUAAAGAAAAACAACCAAUAGGCUCAACACCCACCCUUCCCCAAGGCUUGGCAGAUUUUCACAGACAUUUGAAAUACCAUCACAAUGGAGCCAUAGGCACCCUUAGAAUAGUGGUGUUCCAUAACAGGGGACCACCAUUGCAAUAGAGAAGGGCCACUUCUCGGAUCCAGUCAAAUGACACUGUUUAACAAAGGGAGCUUUGUUGAGCUUUUAAAUCAAAUUACUAAUUGACAGCUCCCAGAUAUGAUAACAAAAGCAUCAAUUCUUUUCCUUAUUUAUGCCACCAGCAGGAUGGGCUUGAUAGCAUAUGAGAUUUCCUUAUUUCCACUGAAGCAACAAAGGAUUAGUGCGAAUGGCAUGACUGAAAUGGAAAAUAUCUGGAUCUGGAAGAUUCUUUCACUCAAAGGCUAGAAAUAGUUUUUAUGGGAACCAUUCAAGAAUCUCUGAAAUGUGCAAUUAAACAAAAUGCAUGUUAUGAUGCUGUACACAUAAUUUUUAUGCUAUUGUGGACAGCAGUCCAUGAAAUACCUCAGAAUGGAGGCAGUGAAAUUUUGAUCAUAAUAAAAAGUUGUGCACAUUAACUAGAUGUUUUUAAGAAUCUGGGUCCUAGCAUAGCUAUACACUCAGUAACCAGAAUUCUGGCAUCUAACUACUAUUUGGAUAAGGCUGCUUUACUUAAUUUCUCAUUUAUUGAUUUAUUACAUUUUCAUUCUUUUUUCAUGAUCUCUGUAACAUUCCCAAAGUGUGUAUGUUAAAAUACAUAUGCUUAUUCCUUCUCCAUAGAUAGAGAUUUUAGUUAAUAGUAAGUAUAAUAAUUCUACAAAGCAAAUUGUAACCGUAAAGCCACACAGUGUCAAAGCAAAUGCACACCCAAAACCUCUGUCUCCAACUUGAGAACUAGCUGGUUUAGAUAAGAAUCAAGAGCCAGAGAAAUUAGUACAGACAUAUUUAUUAUUUUUAGAAAUACAGAGCAUCCCUUAGUGUGUAUGUAAAAUAUCUGCAUGUUUAAGACACAGAUCUUUUUGUUUCUGUGUGCUGCAUGGCAAAGAAGCCACACCAACCACUGUAAAGAAGUGAGUAGUAGGUAGUGAGCAGGCGGCUGUUUUCCAAUGCAGAGAAGCCACGUAGGAGCCUUAGGGAACAAACUGAAUCAACUAAUCUGUCAUCUCGCCCUCCAAAACAGCAGGUGCCUGGGAGUCUGAGCAAUGCAUCGGCCUAGUAGAUGAAGCUCCCAGAGGGGAAAAAAAUAGCUUGAAGAGGGACAGUAGAUCUGUGGCAAAUUAUAUAUGCUUCAAGCAUUUCUCCAGUUAUUUUUCUUUAAAUAAGGAACAUGUUAUUUGCCAAAGCUUCUCAAGGAACAGUGAACCUGAGAUGUUAAAGAGUUCCCAUCUGUCCAACUAGAAACUCAUAGGCUAGAAGGACCUUCCCAUGAGGCAGCUUCAUAUUUUCACAUUUUCAAGCACAAUCUGAAAAGUGGGGAGGCAGAUGAACACAUUCUUGGCUCCUGUUAUCCACAGCACCUAAAUUAUCUGAAUUCAAAUUACUCUGGUAAAGAGUACCUGGAAUUUCCUGGCAGUAGACUUAAUAAGCAUUUAAAUACUAAGUUGUAGGAUCCUGUAAACUUGCCCCGUUCUCUGAAUUCACCUCUUCCCUCUGGCCACAAAGACUGAUCUCACUAUACCUUCUUAUGCAAAUAAAGCACCCUUUUUACUCAGGCCUAUAGAUCAAGCCAGCAUUUUCAGUGGCCUAAGUAUAUUUGACUAAAUUAAGGGUGGUUUUUACUGCAUCCAUCCAAAACAAAUAAUAACAAUGGUCUUAAUCAGUCUGUAAAAGAUGCACAUAUAAUAUUCUUGUUGGAAAAAACAGAUCAAUAGUAAGAACCAGAGAGAUAACAGUAUAUCUAAGACCUUUUCAACCCCUGUUGUAAACCACAUAAAAGAUAGAUCAACAUUUAACACGGCUCAGCGAUUGUUGAAUUCAGCACCUGAAUUCCCAUUUGCAAAGACAUUUAGUUGACUGCUUUUCUUGUUGAAGGGAAAA